GGGGAUUAGUGGCGAACGGGUGAGUAACACGUGGGCAAUCUGCCCUGCACUCUGGGACAAGCCCUGGAAACGGGGUCUAAUACCGGAUACUGAUCCGCCUGGGCAUCCAGGCGGUUCGAAAGCUCCGGCGGUGCAGGAUGAGCCCGCGGCCUAUCAGCUUGUUGGUGAGGUAGUGGCUCACCAAGGCGACGACGGGUAGCCGGCCUGAGAGGGCGACCGGCCACACUGGGACUGAGACACGGCCCAGACUCCUACGGGAGGCAGCAGUGGGGAAUAUUGCACAAUGGGCGAAAGCCUGAUGCAGCGACGCCGCGUGAGGGAUGACGGCCUUCGGGUUGUAAACCUCUUUCAGCAGGGAAGAAGCGAAAGUGACGGUACCUGCAGAAGAAGCGCCGGCUAACUACGUGCCAGCAGCCGCGGUAAUACGUAGGGCGCAAGCGUUGUCCGGAAUUAUUGGGCGUAAAGAGCUCGUAGGCGGCUU
rnacentral:rRNA from 1 species